AGUGAACGCUGGCGGUAGGCCUAACACAUGCAAGUCGAACGGCAGCACAGGAGAGCUUGCUCUCUAGGUGGCGAGUGGCGGACGGGUGAGGAAUACAUCGGAAUCUGCCCAGUCGUGGGGGAUAACGUAGGGAAACUUACGCUAAUACCGCAUACGACCUUCGGGUGAAAGAGGGGGAUCGCAAGACCUCUCGCGAUUGGAUGAGCCGAUGUCGGAUUAGCUAGUUAGCGGGGUAAUGGCCCACCAAGGCGACGAUCCGUAGCUGGUCUGAGAGGAUGAUCAGCCACACUGGAACUGAGACACGGUCCAGACUCCUACGGGAGGCAGCAGUGGGGAAUAUUGGACAAUGGGCGCAAGCCUGAUCCAGCCAUACCGCGUGGGUGAAGAAGGCCUUCGGGUUGUAAAGCCCUUUUGUUGGGAAAGAAAUCUUUCAGGCUAAUACCCUGGGAGGAUGACGGUACCCAAAGAAUAAGCACCGGCUAACUUCAUG
rnacentral:rRNA from 1 species